rnacentral:rRNA from 1 species
CCGCGGUAAUACGUAGGGUGCAAGCGUUAUCCGGAAUUAUUGGGCGUAAAGAGAUGCUGUGUGCUCGUAGGCGGUUUGUCGCGUCUGUCGUGAAAGUCCGGGGCUCAACUCCGGAUCUGCGGUGGGUACGGGCAGACUAGAGUGAUGUAGGGGAGACUGGAAUUCCUGGUGUAGCGGUGGAAUGCGCAGAUAUCAGGAGGGACACCGAUGGCGAAGGCAGGUCUCUGGGCAUUAACUGACGCUGAGGAGCGAAAGCAUGGGGAGCGAACAGGAUUAGAUACCCUGGUAGUCCAUGCCGUAAACGUUGGGCACUAGGUGUGGGGGACAUUCCACGUUUUCCGCGCCGUAGCUAACGCAUUAAGUGCCCCGCCUGGGGAGUACGGCCGCAAGGCUAAAACUCAAAGAAAUUGACGGGGGCCCGCACAAGCGGCGGAGCAUGCGGAUUAAUUCGAUGCAACGCGAAGAACCUUACCAACGCUUGACAUGAACCGGAAAGGCGUAGAAAUACGUCCCCCACUUGUGGUCGGUUUACAGGUGGUGCAUGGUUGUCGUCAGCUCGUGUCGUGAGAUGUUGGGUGAAGUCCCGCAACGAGCGCAACCCUCGUUCUAUGUUGCCAGCACGUGAUGGUGGGGACUCAUAGGAGACUGCCGGGGUCAACUCGGAGGAAGGUGGGGGAUCGUCAAAUCAUCAUGCCCCUUAAUGUCUUGGGCUUCACGCAUGCUACAAUGGCCGGUACAAAGGGUUGCGAUACUGUGAGGUGGAGCUAAUCCCAAAAAGCCGGUCUCAGUUCGGAUUGGGGUCUGCAACUCGACCCCAUGAAGUCGGAGUCGCGGAUGUAGGAUGCUGA